AGCUCAGAGGUAGAGCAAUAGACUGUUAAUCUAUUUGUCUCAGGUUCGAAUCCUGAA
rnacentral:tRNA from 1 species